AGCAGCCGCGGUAAUUCCAGCUCCAAUAGCGUAUAUUAAAGUUGCUGCAGUUAAAAAGCUCGUAGUUGAAUUUCGGGAUCAAUAUGUUGGUCGUGCCUUGGUACGUACUAGCUCAUUGGUUUCUCCCUUCUGACGAACCAUGAUGUCAUUAAUUUGAUGUCAUGGGGAAUCAGGACUGUUACUUUGAAAAAUUAGAGUGUUUAAAGCAGGCUCGCGCUUGAAUACAUUAGCAUGGAAUAAUGAAAUAGGACAUUUGAUUCUAUUUUGUUGGUUUCUAGGAUCGAUGUAAUGAUUAAUAGGGAUAGUUGGGGGCAUUAGUAUUCAAUUGUCAGAGGUGAAAUUCUUGGAUUUAUUGAAGACUAACUACUGCGAAAGCAUUUGCCAAGGAUGUU
rnacentral:misc_RNA from 1 species